CGGGGGUAUAGUUCUUCGGAACUAGAGACCGGCGCACGGGUGCGUAGCGCGUAUGCAAUCUACCUUUUUACAGAGGGAUAGCCCAGAGAAAUUUGGAUUAAUACCUCAUAGUAUGUGAGAAUCGCAUGGUUUUCACAUUAAAGUUCCAACGGUAAAAGAUGAGCAUGCGUCCCAUUAGCUAGAUGGUAAGGUAACGGCUUACCAUGGCGACGAUGGGUAGGGGUCCUGAGAGGGAGAUCCCCCACACUGGUACUGAGACACGGACCAGACUCCUACGGGAGGCAGCAGUGGGGAAUUUUGGACAAUGGACGCAAGUCUGAUCCAGCCAUUCCGCGUGCAGGAUGAAGGCCCUCGGGUUGUAAACUGCUUUUGUACGGAACGAAAAGGUUUGUCUUAAUACGAUGAGCUCAUGACGGUACCGUAAGAAUAAGCACCGGCUAACUACGUG
rnacentral:rRNA from 1 species